rnacentral:rRNA from 1 species
CGGACGGGUGAGUAAUGCGUGGGGAACCUGCCCUGUACAGGGGGAUAACACUUAGAAAUAGGUGCUAAUACCGCAUAAGCGCACAGUAUCGCAUGAUACAGUGUGAAAAACUCCGGUGGUACAGGAUGGACCCGCGUCUGAUUAGCUGGUUGGCGGGGUAACGGCCCACCAAGGCGACGAUCAGUAGCCGGCCUGAGAGGGUGAACGGCCACAUUGGGACUGAGACACGGCCCAAACUCCUACGGGAGGCAGCAG